rnacentral:rRNA from 1 species
AACGAACGCUGGCGGCAUGCCUAACACAUGCAAGUCGAACGAGACCUUCGGGUCUAGUGGCGCACGGGUGCGUAACGCGUGGGGACCUGCCCUUAGGUUCGGAAUAACUCCCCGAAAGGGGUGCUAAUACCGGAUAAUGUCUUCGGACCAAAGAUUUAUCGCCUUUGGAUGGGCCCGCGUUGGAUUAGCUAGUUGGUAGGGUAAAAGCCUACCAAGGCGACGAUCCAUAGCUGGUCUGAGAGGAUGAUCAGCCACACUGGGACUGAGACACGGCCCAGACUCCUACGGGAGGCAGCAGUGGGGAAUAGUGGACAAUGGGCGAAAGCCUGAUCCAGCAAUGCCGCGUGAGUGAUGAAGGCCGUAGGGUUGUAAAGCUCUUUUACCCGGGAUGAUAAUGACAGUACCGGGAGAAUAAGCUCCGGCUAACUCCGUG